GAUGAACGCUAGCGGCAGGCCUAAUACAUGCAAGUCAAGGGGCCAGUAAUGGCACCGGCGGACGGGUGCGUAACGCGUACACAACGUACCUUUGGGUGGGGGAUAGCAUCGGGAAACUGGUGGUAAUACCCCAUGGUAUUGGAGACUGGCAUCAGUUUUCAAUUAAAGACCACGCCCAAAGAUCGGUGUGCGUCUGAUUAGCUAGUUGGUAGGGUAACGGCCUACCAAGGCGACGAUCAGUAGGGGAUGUGAGAGCAUGAUCCCCCACACGGGUACUGAGACACGGACCCGACUCCUACGGGAGGCAGCAGUAAGGAAUAUUGGACAAUGGUCGGAAGACUGAUCCAGCCAUGCCGCGUGAAGGAUGAAGGCGCUCAGCGUUGUAAACUUCUUUUGUACGGGACAAAAUGCGACCUGCGGGUUGUACUGAGGGUACCGUAAGAAUAAGCACCGGCUAACUCCGUG
rnacentral:rRNA from 1 species